CCUACGGGUGGCAGCAGUGGGGAAUAUUGCACAAUGGGGGAAACCCUGAAGCAGCAACGCCGCGUGAGUGAAGAAGUAUUUCGGUAUGUAAAGCUCUAUCAGCCGGGAAGAAAAUGACAGUCCCUGACUAAGAAGCCCCGGCUAACUACGUGCCAGAAGCCGCGGUAAUACGUAGGGGGCAAGCGUUAACCGGAUUUACUGGGUGUAAAGGGAGCGAAGACGGCAGCGCAAGUCAGAAGUGAAAGCCCGGGGCUCAACCGCGGGACUGCUUUUGAAACUGUAUAGCUAGAGUGCAGGAGAGGUAAGUGGAAUUCGUAGUGUAGCGGUGAAAUGCGUAGAUAUUAGGAGGAACACCGGUGGCGAAGGCGUCUUACUGGACUGUAAUUGACGUUGAGGCUCGAAAGCGUGGGGAGCAAACAGGAUUAGAUACCCGUGUAGGC
rnacentral:rRNA from 1 species